rnacentral:sRNA from 1 species
UUUAAAGCUAAAAGGAGGCCAGGGAAAAUUGUUCCUAACAAUUUCAGUUUAGGCAAUGAACCGUUUAAUAAUUGCUAAUGCCUUGCCGUAAUUUUCAUGGCUCCUGACAUUUGGCCAAAAAAGGAAGUAAAAGAUGGAAAAAGGCCGCCAAAAUGACAUAAUCUGCCACAUGUGGCAUUUGAGGCAAGGAAGAAGGUGCGUGAACCCGCAAAAUAACAAAUGAGAACGGAAACUGUCAAUUGACGCGAGCUAAACCCAACAAAAAAAAACAAAGAAAAGGUAAUAAAAAAGUCUGGAUGAAGGCGCCUUUCCUUUUUGCGAUGGAAGUCAAUUACAUAAUUACUUUCAAGCGAUUUCCCACGAAAUAAAAUAUCGGUCCAGCUACCUGAAAUCGAA